rnacentral:tRNA from 1 species
UCCUUGGUGGCUCAGAUGGUAAAGAAUCCACCUGCAAUGCGGGAGACCCAGGUUCAAUCCCUGGUCGAGAAG